rnacentral:rRNA from 1 species
UCUGGUGCACAUAGCGUCUUGGAACCACCCCUUCCCUUCCCGAACAGGACCGUGAAACAGGAUCGCGCCAAUGAUAGUGAGUUAACCUCUCGCGAAAGUAGGUCAGCGCCAGAC